UACGAAGGGGGCUAGCGUUGUCCGGAAUUAUUGGGCGUAAAGAGCGUGUAGGCGGUCCGGUAAGUCAGCUGUGAAAGUCAAGGGCUCAACCCUUGAAUGCCGGUUGAUACUGUCGGGCUAGAGUCCGGAAGAGGCGAGUGGAAUUCCCGGUGUAGCGGUGAAAUGCGCAGAUAUCGGGAGGAACACCAAUGGCGAAGGCAGCUCGCUGGGACGGUACUGACGCUGAGACGCGAAAGCGUGGGGAGCAAACAGG
rnacentral:rRNA from 1 species